AUUGAACGCUGGCGGCAUGCCUUACACAUGCAAGUCGAACGGCAGCACGGGAGCAAUCCUGGUGGCGAGUGGCGAACGGGUGAGUAAUAUAUCGGAACGUGCCCAGUCGUGGGGGAUAACGUAGCGAAAGCUACGCUAAUACCGCAUACGAUCUAUGGAUGAAAGCGGGGGAUCGCAAGACCUCGCGCGAUUGGAGCGGCCGAUAUCAGAUUAGGUAGUUGGUGGGGUAAAAGCCUACCAAGCCUUCGAUCUGUAGCUGGUCUGAGAGGACGACCAGCCACACUGGAACUGAGACACGGUCCAGACUCCUACGGGAGGCAGCAGGUAGGGUAAUUUGGACAAGUGGGCGAC
rnacentral:rRNA from 1 species